rnacentral:rRNA from 1 species
UACGUAGGGGCCGAGCGUUGUCCGGAGUUAUUGGGCGUAAAGCGCGCGCAGGCGGCUUCGCGCGCCCGACGUGAAAGCCCCCGGCUUAACCGGGGAGAGUCGUUGGGGACGGCGGAGCUUGAGGGCGGGAGAGGUCGGUGGAAUUCCCGGUGUAGUGGUGAAAUGCGUAGAGAUCGGAAGGAACACCAGUGGCGAAGGCGGCUACCUGGCCAGAUACUGACACUGAGGAACGAAAGCGUGGGGAGCAAACAGG